rnacentral:rRNA from 1 species
CAUGCAAGUCGAGGGGAAACGACAUCGAAAGCUUGCUUUUGAUGGGCGUCGACCGGCGCACGGGUGAGUAACGCGUAUCCAACCUGCCCACCACUUGGGGAUAACCUUGCGAAAGUAAGACUAAUACCCAAUGACGUCUCUAGAAGACAUCUGAAAGAGAUUAAAGAUUUAUCGGUGAUGGAUGGGGAUGCGUCUGAUUAGCUUGUUGGCGGGGUAACGGCCCACCAAGGCGACGAUCAGUAGGGGUUCUGAGAGGAAGGUCCCCCACAUUGGAACUGAGACACGGUCCAAACUCCUACGGGAGGCAGCAGUGAGGAAUAUUGGUCAAUGGGCGAGAGCCUGAACCAGCCAAGUAGCGUGCAGGAUGACGGCCCUAUGGGUUGUAAACUGCUUUUAUAAGGGAAUAAAGUGAGUCUCGUGAGACUUUUUGCAUGUACCUUAUGAAUAAGGACCGGCUAAUUCCGUGCCAGCAGCCGCGGUAAUACGGAAGGUCCGGGCGUUAUCCGGAUUUAUUGGGUUUAAAGGGAGCGUAGGCCGGAGAUUAAGCGUGUUGUGAAAUGUAGACGCUCAACGUCUGCACUGCAGCGCGAACUGGUUUCCUUGAGUACGCACAAAGUGGGCGGAAUUCGUGGUGUAGCGGUGAAAUGCUUAGAUAUCACGAAGAACUCCGAUUGCGAAGGCAGCUCACUGGAGCGCAACUGACGCUGAAGCUCGAAAGUGCGGGUAUCGAACAGGAUUAGAUACCCUGGUAGUCCGCACGGUAAACGAUGGAUGCCCGCUGUUGGUCUGAAUAGGUCAGCGGCCAAGCGAAAGCAUUAAGCAUCCCACCUGGGGAGUACGCCGGCAACGGUGAAACUCAAAGGAAUUGACGGGGGCCCGCACAAGCGGAGGAACAUGUGGUUU